rnacentral:rRNA from 1 species
AUGUGUGCGCACACGGAGAAGCAGCUCGAACAAAAAAACCAAACGAAAAUAAAGGAUCGAAGCUGCUCUCGGACAAAAUGGUUGAAGGACGAAGGAGCCUUUUUGCCUUUUUUGAUGAAUGGCAGAUUUACUCGAAGCAGGACCCUUCGAUGCAUGGUAGCAAGUUCAGAUCCUCCUAAUAGGAAAUCAAGAAAGAUGGUAUCACCUCAGGUUAAAGUCAUUUCUUCUAGAGGAUAUACGACAAGACUCAUUGUUGAACCAAGCACCGAGAAUAUAGAACACAAUAAUCGGGAUGAAGAAACUCUUGAUACAUACAAUGCGCUAUUAAGUACCGAGACAGCAGAAUGGACAGAUACUAGAGAAGCCGAGACUGCUAAAGCGGACUCGUCGCAAAAUGCUUUAAGCAGUUCUAUAAUCGGGGGAGUGGAUGUGGCGGAUGAAGAUAUACUUGCGGCUGAUCUGACAGUGAAUUCAUUAAGCAGUAUAACGAAGAAGGAAGUGGAUGCAGUGGACAAAGCUAGAGUUAAAGAAGACGUAUUUGAGCUGGAUUUGCCAGCAACUACAUUGAGAAGUGUGAUAGUGGAUGUGAUGGAUCAUAAUGGGACUGUACAAGAGACAUUGAGAAGUGUGAUAGUAGAUGUGAUGGAUGAUGCGGCGGACAAAGCUAGAGUUGAAGAAGACGUAUUUGAGCUGGAUUUGUCAGGAAAUAUUUCAAGCAGUGCGACGACCGUGGAACUAGAUGCGGUUGACGAAGUCGGGCCUGUUCAAGACACAUUUGAGGCGAACUCGUCAGGAAAUGUUUCAAACAGUGCAACGGUACGGGAAGUGGAUACGAGUGCUGAAGCUGGGAAUGAUCAAGGCAUAUUUAGAGCAGAUUUGUCAGGAAAUGUUUUUUCAAGCAGUACAACAGUGGAAGUGGGUGCAGUGGAUGAAGCUGGGUCUAUAAAAGACAGGUUUGAGACGGAUUCGUCAGGAAAUGUUUCAACAAGUGCGACGAUGUGGGAUGCAAUUGAUGAAACCGUGGCUGAUCAAGACGCAGUUGAGGCGGAUUUGUCGGGAAAUGCUUCAAGCUGCGCGACAUACAGAGAAGUGGAUGAUGUGGUGGAUGAAACUAGAUCAGAAGAGGAAACAUUUGCGAUGGAUUUGUUUGCAAGUGAAUCAGGCCAUGAGAAACAUAUGGCAGUGGAUCAUGUGGGUGAAGCUACCGAUGAAGAAGAGACUUACCAACAGCAAUAUCCAGUACCGUCUUCAUUCUCUAUGUGGGACAAGGCUAUUGCUAAAACAGGUGUAAGUUUGAAUCCUGAGCUGCGACUUGUCAGGGUUGAAGAACAAGGCAAAGUAAAUUUUAGUGAUAAAAAAGACCUGUCAAUUGAUGAUUUACCAGGACAAAACCAAUCGAUCAUUGGUUCCUAUAAACAAGAUAAAUCAAUUGCUGAUGUUGCGGGACCGACCCAAUCAAUUUUUGGUUCUAGUAAACAACACCGGUCAAUUGUUGCUUUCCCCAAACAAAACCAGUCAAUUGUUAGUGUCACUGAGCAAAAGCAGUCCAUAGUUGGAUUCCGUAGUCAAGAUCUUUCGGCUGUUAGUCUCCCUAAACAAAACGUACCAAUUGUUGGUACGUCGAGAGAGGGUCAAACAAAGCAAGUUCCUGUUGUUGAUAGACAGGAUGCGUUGUAUGUGAAUGGACUGGAAGCUAAGGAGGGAGAUCACACAUCCGAGAAAACCGAUGAGGAUGUGCUUCAUGUAAAAUUUAAUGUUGACAAUGUGUUGCGGAAGCAUCAGGCAGAUAGAACCCAAGCAGUGGAAACGAUAACUUGGAAGAAAGUUGAUGAGGAACAUCUUUACAUGACUGAACAUCAGAUAGGUGCUGCCGAAGGACAGAUGGUAGUUAACGAGGAUGAGCUUUCUAUAACUGAAAUUGGAAUGGGGAGAGGUGAUAAAAUUCAGCAUGUGCUUUCUGAGGAAGAGCUUUCAUGGUCUGAAGAUGAAGUGCAGUUAAUUGAGGAUGAUGGACAAUAUGAAGUUGAUGAGACCUCUGUGUCCGUUAACGUUGAACAAGAUAUCCAGGGGUCACCACAGGAUGUUGUGGAUCCGCAAGCACUAAAGGUGAUGCUGCAAGAACUCGCUGAGAAAAAUUAUUCGAUGAGGAACAAGCUGUUUGUUUUUCCAGAGGUAGUGAAAGCUGAUUCAGUUAUUGAUCUUUAUUUCAAUCGUGACCUAACAGCUUUGGCGAAUGAACCCGAUGUUGUCAUCAAAGGAGCAUUCAAUGGUUGGAAAUGGAGGCUUUUCACUGAAAGAUUGCAUAAGAGUGACCUUGGAGGGGUUUGGUGGUCUUGCAAACUGUACAUACCCAAGGAGGCCUACAGAUUAGACUUUGUGUUCUUCAACGGUCGCACGGUCUAUGAGAACAAUGGCAACAAUGAUUUCUGUAUAGGAAUAGAAGGCACUAUGAAUGAAGAUCUGUUUGAGGAUUUCUUGGUUAAAGAAAAGCAAAGGGAGCUUGAGAAACUUGCCAUGGAAGAAGCUGAAAGGAGGACACAGACUGAAGAACAGCGGCGAAGUAAGGAAGCAAGGGCUGCAGAUGAAGCUGUCAGGGCACAAGCGAAGGCCGAGAUAGAGAUCAAGAACAAAAAAUUGCAGAGUAUGUUGAGUUUGGCCAGAACAUGUGUUGAUAAUUUGUGGUACAUAGAGGCUAGCACAGAUACAAGCGGAGAUACUAUCAGGUUAUACUAUAACAGAAACUCGAGGCCACUUGCGCAUAGUACUGAGAUUUGGAUGCAUGGUGGUUACAACAAUUGGUCAGAUGGACUCUCUAUUGUUGAAAGCUUUGUCAAGUGCAAUGACAGAGACGGCGAUUGGUGGUAUGCAGAUGUUAUUCCACCUGAAAAAGCACUUGUGUUGGACUGGGUUUUUGCUGAUGGGCCAGCUGGGAAUGCAAGGAACUAUGACAACAAUGCUCGACAAGAUUUCCAUGCUAUUCUUCCAAACAACAAUGUAACCGAGGAAGGCUUCUGGGUGCAAGAGGAGCAAAACAUCUAUACAAGGCUUCUGCAAGAAAGGAGAGAAAAGGAAGAAACCAUGAAAAGAAAGGCUGAGAGAAGUGCAAAUAUCAAAGCUGAGAUGAAGGCAAAAACUAUGCGAAGGUUUCUGCUUUCCCAGAAACACAUUGUUUAUACCGAACCGCUUGAAAUACGUGCCGGAACCACAGUGGAUGUGCUAUACAAUCCCUCUAACACAGUGCUAAAUGGAAAGCCGGAGGUUUGGUUUAGAUGCUCUUUUAACCUUUGGAUGCAUCCAAGUGGAGCAUUGCCACCCCAGAAGAUGGUGAAAUCAGGGGAUGGGCCGCUCUUAAAAGCCACAGUUAAUGUUCCACCGGAUGCCUAUAUGAUGGACUUUGUUUUCUCCGAGUGGGAAGAAGAUGGGAUCUAUGACAACAGGAAUGGGAUGGACUAUCAUAUUCCUGUUUCUGAUUCAAUUGAAACAGAGAAUUACAUGCGUAUUAUCCACAUUGCCGUUGAGAUGGCCCCCGUUGCAAAGGUUGGAGGUCUCGGGGAUGUUGUUACAAGUCUUUCACGUGCCGUUCAAGAUCUAGGGCAUACUGUCGAGGUUAUUCUCCCGAAGUACGACUGUUUGAACCAAAGCAGUGUCAAGGAUUUACAUUUAUAUCAAAGUUUUUCUUGGGGUGGUACAGAAAUAAAAGUAUGGGUUGGACGAGUCGAAGACCUGACCGUUUACUUCCUGGAACCUCAAAAUGGGAUGUUUGGCGUCGGAUGUGUAUAUGGAAGGAAUGAUGACCGCAGAUUUGGGUUCUUCUGUCAUUCUGCUCUUGAGUUUAUCCUCCAGAAUGAAUUUUCUCCACAUAUAAUACAUUGCCAUGAUUGGUCAAGUGCUCCGGUCGCCUGGCUAUAUAAGGAACACUAUUCCCAAUCCAGAAUGGCAAGCACUCGGGUUGUAUUUACCAUCCACAAUCUUGAAUUUGGAGCACAUUAUAUUGGUAAAGCAAUGACAUACUGUGAUAAAGCCACAACUGUUUCUCCUACAUAUUCAAGGGACGUGGCAGGCCAUGGUGCCAUUGCUCCUCAUCGUGAGAAAUUCUACGGCAUUCUCAAUGGAAUUGAUCCAGAUAUCUGGGAUCCAUACACUGACAAUUUUAUCCCGGUCCCUUAUACUUGUGAGAAUGUUGUCGAAGGCAAGAGAGCUGCAAAAAGGGCCUUGCAGCAGAAGUUUGGAUUACAGCAAACUGAUGUCCCUAUUGUCGGAAUCAUCACCCGUCUGACAGCCCAGAAGGGAAUCCACCUCAUCAAGCACGCAAUUCACCGAACCCUCGAAAGCAACGGACAGGUGGUUUUGCUUGGUUCAGCUCCAGAUCAUCGAAUACAAGGCGAUUUUUGCAGAUUGGCCGAUGCUCUUCACGGUGUUUACCACGGUAGGGUGAAGCUUGUUCUAACCUACGAUGAGCCUCUUUCUCACCUGAUAUACGCUGGCUCCGACUUCAUUAUUGUCCCUUCAAUCUUCGAACCCUGUGGCUUAACACAACUUGUUGCCAUGCGUUAUGGAUCGAUCCCUAUAGUUCGGAAAACCGGAGGACUUUACGACACUGUCUUCGACGUAGACAAUGAUAAGGACCGGGCUCGGUCUCUUGGUCUUGAACCAAAUGGGUUCAGUUUCGACGGAGCCGACAGCAACGGCGUGGAUUAUGCCCUCAACAGAGCAAUCGGCGCUUGGUUCGAUGCCCGUGAUUGGUUCCACUCCCUGUGUAAGAGGGUCAUGGAACAAGACUGGUCAUGGAACCGGCCCGCACUGGACUACAUUGAAUUGUACCAUGCCGCUCGAAAAUUCUGA